rnacentral:tRNA from 1 species
GGAAAAAUAUGCUAUAUUUAAGCAUUUAGACUCAUGAUCUAGUGAAGAAUGAAAAUUUCUUUUUCCA